AACAAGGUCUCCGUUGGUGAACCAGCGGAGGGAUCAUUACCGAGUUUACAACUCCCAAACCCCUGUGAACAUACCACUUGUUGCCUCGGCGGAUCAGCCCGCUCCCGGUAAAACGGGACGGCCCGCCAGAGGACCCCUAAACUCUGUUUCUAUAUGUAACUUCUGAGUAAAACCAUAAAUAAAUCAAAACUUUCAACAACGGAUCUCUUGGUUCUGGCAUCGAUGAAGAACGCAGCAAAAUGCGAUAAGUAAUGUGAAUUGCAGAAUUCAGUGAAUCAUCGAAUCUUUGAACGCACAUUGCGCCCGCCAGUAUUCUGGCGGGCAUGCCUGUUCGAGCGUCAUUUCAACCCUCAAGCACAGCUUGGUGUUGGGACUCGCGUUAAUUCGCGUUCCCCAAAUUGAUUGGCGGUCACGUCGAGCUUCCAUAGCGUAGUAGUAAAACCCUCGUUACUGGUAAUCGUCGCGGCCACGCCGUUAAACCCCAACUUCUGAAUGUUGACCUCGGAUCAGGUAGGAAUACCCGCUGAACUUAGGCAUAUCAAUAAGCGGAGGA
rnacentral:rRNA from 1 species